rnacentral:rRNA from 1 species
GGUGGUGCAUGGUUGUCGUCAGCUCGUGUCGUGAGAUGUUGGGUUAAGUCCCGCAACGAGCGCAACCCUUAAGCUUAGUUGCCAUCAUUAAGUUGGGCACUCUAAGUUGACUGCCGGUGACAAACCGGAGGAAGGUGGGGAUGACGUCAAAUCAUCAUGCCCCUUAUGAUUUGGGCUACACACGUGCUACAAUGGACAAUACAAAGGGUAGCGAAACCGCGAGGUCAAGCAAAUCCCAUAAAGUUGUUCUCAGUUCGGAUUGUAGUCUGCAACUCGACUAUAUGAAGCUGGAAUCGCUAGUAAUCGUAGAUCAGCAUGCUACGGUGAAUACGUUCCCGGGUCUUGUACAC